rnacentral:sRNA from 1 species
AGCCAGAAUACAACGAUGUCGAUAAAUA